UACGUAGGGUCCGAGCGUUGUCCGGAAUUAUUGGGCGUAAAGGGCUCGUAGGCGGUUCGUCACGUCGGGAGUGAAAACUCGGAGCUUAACUCCGAGCCUGCUUCCGAUACGGGCAGACUAGAGGUAUGCAGGGGGAGAACGGAAUUCCUGGUGUAGCGGUGAAAAUGCGCAGAUAUCUGGAGGAACACCGGUGGCGAAGGCGGCAUCCUGGACCGAUACUGACGCUGAGGAGCGAAAAGCCAGGGG
rnacentral:rRNA from 1 species